rnacentral:hammerhead_ribozyme from 1 species
AUUCUGCCGACGAGUCCCAAAUAGGACGAAACGUGCGUCCUGAAU